AUGGCAGGGACCUUAGUCCUGCCGGUUGCUCUUGAGACAACUUUUGCAGGCCGAACAGGCGGUCGGCACUGCAAGUCUCAUGGAACCAGGAGUACUCCCUCAAUGUUGGCAAUGUCAUUGAACCGUCCUGUAAGGAUGGCAGCAUUUGUCGGUCUGAGAUCGGUACAUAGCUUCUCAGCCAUGCGCUCGUCCAACUUCAGGUCAACAGUUGCAUCUUACAGAUUCUCUAGACGGGGAAGGCGUGCUUCUUUUGUAACCAGAGCAAUGUUCGAGAGGUUUACUGAGAAAGCUAUAAAAGUCAUAAUGCUUGCGCAAGAGGAAGCGAGGCGCCUGGGCCACAACUUUGUUGGAACCGAGCAAGUUCUAUUGGGUCUGGUUGGAGAAGGCACUGGUAUUGCGGCAAAGGUGCUUAAGUCCAUGGGUAUAAAUCUGAAGGAUGCCCGUGUGGAAGUGGAGAAGAUCAUUGGGAGGGGCAAUGGUUUUGUUGCUGUCGAAAUACCAUUCACACCACGUGCAAAACGUGUUUUAGAGCUUUCAUUGGAGGAAGCUCGCCAGCUAGGACACAACUAUAUUGGGUCCGAGCACUUGCUUCUUGGAUUGCUUCGUGAGGGGGAAGGGGUGGCAGCUCGCGUACUUGAGUCUCUUGGUGCUGACCCCAGCAAUAUUCGUACCCAGGUUGUCCGGAUGAUUGGUGAGACAACAGAAGCUGUUGGUGCUGGAGUUGGGGGAGGGAACAGUGGUAACAAGAUGCCGACACUUGAGGAGUAUGGGACUAAUUUAACAAAAUUAGCCGAGGAGGGAAAGCUAGAUCCUGUUGUUGGGAGGGAACCACAGAUUGAACGUGUCGUACAAAUUUUGGGCAGAAGAACCAAGAACAAUCCCUGCUUAAUUGGAGAACCUGGUGUUGGGAAAACAGCUAUUGCAGAAGGGCUUGCCCAACGCAUUUCUAGUGGCGAUGUGCCUGAGACGAUAGAGGGGAAGAAGGUCAUUACCCUUGAUAUGGGACUUCUUGUUGCUGGUACGAAAUACCGUGGAGAAUUUGAAGAACGGUUGAAGAAACUGAUGGAAGAAAUCAAACAGAGCGAUGAGAUAAUUCUCUUCAUCGAUGAAGUUCACACCCUCAUAGGAGCAGGAGCCGCCGAAGGUGCUAUUGAUGCUGCUAAUAUUUUAAAGCCAGCAUUAGCAAGAGGAGAACUACAGUGUAUUGGAGCCACCACACUUGAUGAAUACAGGAAGCAUGUUGAGAAAGACCCAGCAUUAGAAAGACGUUUCCAGCCAGUAAAGGUACCGGAACCAUCAGUUGAUGAGACCAUAGAAAUUCUCAGAGGGCUCCGGGAGCGAUAUGAGAUCCAUCAUAAACUUCGUUACACUGAUGAUUCUUUGAUUGCAGCUGCUAAGCUAUCUUAUCAAUAUAUCAGUGAUCGUUUCCUCCCAGAUAAAGCAAUUGAUUUGAUUGAUGAAGCAGGUUCACGUGUUAGGCUUCGACAUGCCCAGGUUCCUGAGGAAGCCAGAGAGCUUGACAAGGAGCUUAAGCAAAUAACGAAAGAUAAAAAUGAAGCUGUCCGUGGCCAGGAUUUUGAGAAGGCUGGAGAGUUGCGAGAUCGUGAAAUGGAAUUGAAGGCCCAGAUAACAGCCCUGAUUGACAAGAGCAAGGAGAUGAACAAAGCAGAGACUGAGUCGGGAGAGACGGGGCCGAUGGUGCAUGAAUCAGAUAUCCAGCACAUUGUGUCAUCAUGGACUGGUAUUCCAGUGGAGAAAGUCUCGACUGACGAAUCUGAUAAACUUCUUAAGAUGGAAGAGACAUUGCAUAAGCGUGUCAUCGGCCAAGAUGAGGCUGUGAAAGCAAUAAGCCGGUCCGUUCGCCGUGCUCGUGUGGGCCUCAAGAGCCCCAACAGACCAAUUGCGAGCUUCAUUUUUGCAGGCCCCACUGGUGUUGGGAAAUCAGAGCUUGCAAAGACUCUGGCAUCAUAUUACUUCGGCUCUGAAGAAGCCAUGAUCCGGCUGGAUAUGAGUGAGUUCAUGGAGAGGCACACUGUGUCCAAGUUGAUCGGUUCACCACCAGGCUAUGUGGGAUACACUGAAGGUGGGCAGCUGACGGAGGCGGUUCGACGGCGGCCAUACAGCGUUGUGCUUUUUGAUGAGAUUGAGAAGGCGCAUCCGGAUGUGUUCAACAUGAUGCUCCAGAUCCUGGAAGACGGAAGGUUAACUGACAGCAAGGGGAGAACAGUGGACUUCAAGAACACGCUCCUGAUAAUGACAUCAAAUGUUGGGAGCAGCGUGAUUGAGAAGGGGGGGAGGAAGAUCGGGUUCGACCUCGACUCCGACGAGAAGGACAGCAGCUAUGGCAGGAUCAAGAGCUUGGUGAUCGAGGAGAUGAAGCAGUACUUCCGACCGGAGUUUCUCAACCGUCUGGACGAGAUGAUCGUCUUCAGACAGCUGACCAAGCUGGAAGUCAAAGAGAUCGCGGACAUAAUGCUGCAGGAGGUUUUCGCCAGGCUCAAGACCAAGGACAUCAACCUGCAGGUGACGGAGAAGUUCAAGGAGCGGGUCGUGGACGAAGGGUACAACCCUAGCUACGGAGCGCGGCCGCUGAGGAGGGCCAUCAUGAGGCUCCUGGAGGACAGCCUCGCGGAGAAGAUUUUGGGGGGGGAGGUCAAGGAGGGCGACUCUGUCAUCGUUGAUGUGGACCCGGAGGGGAAAGUCAUUGUGCUGAAUGGCGAGAGCGGCCUGCCGGAACUUCCAGCCCCGGCGGUCGCUGUAUAG
rnacentral:rRNA from 1 species